rnacentral:rRNA from 1 species
GAUGAACGCUGGCGGCGUGCCUAAUACAUGCAAGUCGAGCGAACGGACGAGAAGCUUGCUUUUCUGAUGUUAGCGGCGGACGGGUGAGUAACACGUGGAUAACCUACCUAUAAGACUGGGAUAACUUCGGGAAACCGGAGCUAAUACCGGAUAAUAUUUUGAACCGCAUGGUUCAAAAGUGAAAGACGGUCUUGCUGUCACUUAUAGAUGGAUCCGCGCUGCAUUAGCUAGUUGGUAAGGUAACGGCUCACCAAGGCAACGAUGCAUAGCCGACCUGAGAGGGUGAUGGCCACACUGGAACUGAGACACGGUCCAGACUCCUACGGGAGGCAGCAGUAGGGAAUCUUCCGCAAUGGGCGAAAGCCUGACGGAGCAACGCCGCGUGAGUGAUGAAGGUCUUCGGAUCGUAAAACUCUGUUAUUAGGGAAGAACAUAUGUGUAAGUAACUGUGCACAUCUUGACGGUACCUAAUCAGAAAGCCACGGCUAACUACGUG